UAUUUAGUAUCUCGUUUUAGGUUUUAUCCAUAGAUUAUCCAUCGGGUGAUGGUAAUAAAACAGGAUUCGAGUUGGACUAUCUGUUGACGUGCUGGUUUUAUCCAUACAUUGUCCAUCGAGUGAUGGUAAUAAAACAGGAUUCGAGAUGGACUAUCUGUUGACGUGCUGGUUUUAUCCAUAGAUUGUCCAUCGGGUGAUGGUAAUAAAACAGGAUUCGAGUUGGACUAUCUGUUGACGUGCUGGUUUUAUCCAUAGAUUAUCCAUCGAGUGAUGGUAAUAAAACAGGAUUCGAGUUGGACUAUCUGUUGACGUGCUGGUUUUAUCCAUAGAUUGUCCAUCGGGUGAUGGUAAUAAAACAGGAUUCGAGUUGGACUAUCUGUUGACGUGCUGGUUUUAUCCAUAGAUUGUCCAUCGGGUGAUGGUGAUAAAACAGGAUUCGAGUUGGACUAUCUGUUGUCGUGCUGGUAGGUUUUUAUUUAAUAGUUUUAUUUAGUAUCUCGGUAUAGGUUUUAUCGAGUGAUGGUAAUAAAACAGUGGUAAUAAACAGUGAUGUGAUGUAGUGUGAUUUGAGAAAUAAAAUAAA